rnacentral:rRNA from 1 species
CAGCCGCCGCGGGAAUACGUAGGUGGCAAGCGUUGUCCGGAACUAUUGGGCGUAAAGGGCUCGCAGGCGGUUUCUUAAGUCUGAUGUGAAAGCCCCCGGCUCAACCGGGGAGGGUCAUUGGAAACUGGGAAACUUGAGUGCAGAAGAGGAGAGUGGAAUUCCACGUGUAGCGGUGAAAUGCGUAGAGAUGUGGAGGAACACCAGUGGCGAAGGCGACUCUCUGGUCUGUAACUGACGCUGAGGAGCGAAAGCGUGGGGAGCGAACAGGAUUAGAUACCCGUGUAGUCCCUGUCUCUUAUAC